AGAAUCAACGCUGGCGGCGUGCCUAACACAUGCAAGUCGAACGAGAAAGGGUAGCAAUACCUGAGUAAAGUGGCGCACGGGUGAGUAACACGUGACUAACCUACCUUUUAGUGGGGGAUAACCUAGGGAAACCUGGGCUAAUACCGCAUAAUACCUACGGGUCAAAGCAGCAAUGCGCUGGAAGAGGGGGUCGCGGCCGAUUAGCUAGUUGGCGGGGUAAUGGCCCACCAAGGCAGUGAUCGGUA
rnacentral:rRNA from 1 species